AUGGCCCUGCUCACUGGCUCUAAACUCACCUACUGGAAGAGCCCAAGAGGAGAUCUACGCGGCUAUCAGCUAAACCUGCUCCUGCAAAAGUGGAAACGAAGCGCAAAGAGGCAGCAGCAGAGGAUAAAUCUUCAGACAAAAAAGUGCAACCAAAAGGGAAAAGGGGAGCAAAGGGAAAACAGGCUGAAGCGGCUAACCAAGAAACUAAAGAUUUACCUGCAGAAAAUGGAGAAACUAAAACUGAGGAGAGUCCAGCCUCUCAUGAAGCAGAAGAGAAAGAAGCCAAGUCUGAUUCAUAUCAUACACCGUGUCUUAUCAGUGGUCCCUGUCUCCCUUCUUGUACAAUCCAGAGGAGUAUUUUUAUCAACUAUUUUGUAAAUGCAAGUUCUUUAGUAGCUCUAGAAACAUUUUUAAGAAGGAAGGAAUUCCACCUCAUUCCAUUUUUUAAGUGUAAAUGCUUUUUUUUAAGAGGCGAAAUCAUUCGCUGGUUGUUUAUUUUUUGGUACAACCAGAAAACAGUGAGGGAUAUUGAAUUAUGGGAGGCUUUGACUGUCUUGGGUGUCAGCUUAACAUUCCUUAGAUGGGGGUUAGUUUUUAUAUCCUAUAAUACAGAGCAUACUAAAUGGCAAUAUGGAGUCCCAGGCCUGCAUUUAAUGUCUUGAACAUUUUAAAUUACUUCUAUUCCCAUGUUGUUUUUUAGUAGACUUGUUUCCUAAAGAAAAUCACUCCUUGAUCAUGGCUGUCUCUGUCAGAAUGGCGUACACUCUGUAACAUCUCUGGUCGUGGUAGUCCUGUUUUCCUGAUAACUUUGUUUACGUGCUGUGAAAGAUGGAAAAUUUGAGUAUGUAGUAUACAUGAUAAUAAAUUGUGAAUUGGUGGGACUUAUGUAACAGCUUAUCAACAUUUGAAGAUACUGGUACUUGAUAUCCUCUUAAGGAAAAUUUGCCUCCAAAUUUUAAGCUGGAAAGUCACUGGAGUAACUGUUUUAAAAAGAAUUAAAAUAAAUGGCUUUUUAGGUUUUCAGUAUGUAUGUUAAGAACUGUGUACAAAUUGAAAUGUCUGUACUGAUCCUCAGCAUAACCAAUACAAUCUCAAUUA